rnacentral:tRNA from 1 species
AGGGGUAUAGCUCAGUGUUAAGAGUACAUGUUUUGCAUACAUGUGGUCUUGGGUUCAAUCCCUAGCACUU